AAGUCGUAACAAGGUUUCCGUAGGUGAACCUGCGGAAGGAUCAUUAAAGAGAUAGGGUCUUCCGGGCCCGAACCUCCCACCCGUUGUGUACCACACCUCUGUUGCUUGGCGGGGCCCUCCGGGUGCCCCGUCAGAUGGCCACGCCGGAACCGUCGCCGGACAGCGCCGGGUACGGGGUACGCGUGGGCCCCCUUCAAACCUGUCUCAUGGAUGGAGUCUGAGCGAGAACACAAUUGACUAAAACUUUCAACAACGGAUCUCUUGGUUCCGGCAUCGAUGAAGAACGCAGCGAAAUGCGAUAAGUAAUGUGAAUUGCAGAAUUCAGUGAAUCAUCGAAUCUUUGAACGCACAUUGCGCCCCUUGGUAUUCCGGGGGGCAUGCCUGUCCGAGCGUCAUUACUCCCUCAAGCUCCGCUUGGUCGUGGGUCGCGUCCCCCGGACGGGCCCGAAAGUCAGUGGCGGCGUGGGCCGGCUCCGAGCGAAGUAACUUCAAAAUCCGCUCCGGGAGCCCGGCCGGCGCCGGCCAUCGAACCCCCAUU
rnacentral:rRNA from 1 species